CAUUGGAAUGCGAUUCAGAUCACCUCAGACUGAGACACUGAUGAGUCUUCAGUUCAUAAGUGCUUCUCUCUGGGGCUGUCUUGGUUG
rnacentral:pre_miRNA from 1 species